UACGUAGGGUGCGAGCGUUAAUCGGAAUUACUGGGCGUAAAGCGUGCGCAGGCGGUUUUGUAAGUCUGUCGUGAAAUCCCCGGGCUCAACCUGGGAAUUGCGAUGGAGACUGCAAGGCUAGAAUCUGGCAGAGGGGGGGUAGAAUUCCACGUGUAGCAGUGAAAUGCGUAGAGAUGUGGAGGAACACCGAUGGCGAAGGCAGCCCCCCUGGGUCAAGAUUGACGCUCAUGCACGAAAGCGUGGGGAGCAAACAGGG
rnacentral:rRNA from 1 species